GACGAACGCUGGCGGUGUGCCUAAUACAUGCAAGUAGGACGCAGUUGCGAACGGGAGAGUAACGCGUAGGUAACUACCUAUUAGAGGGGGAUAACUAUUGGAAACGAUAGCUAAUACCGCAUACUAGUAGAUGGACCUGCGUUGUAUUAGCUAGUAGGUAGGGGAAUGGCCUACCUAGGACACGAUACAUAGCCGACCCGAGAGGGGGAGCGGCCACACUGGGACUUGGAAACGGCCCCGACUCCUACGGGAGGCAGCAGUAGGUAAUCGUCGGCAAUGGGGGGAACCCUGACCGAGCAACGCCGCGGUAGUGAAGAAGGUUUUCGGAUCGUAAAGCUCUGUUGUUAAGGAAGCGUUACUUAACCAGAAAGGGACGGCUAACUACGUGCCAGCCGCCGCGGUAAUUC
rnacentral:rRNA from 1 species